CCUACGGGAGGCAGCAGUGAGGAAUAUUGGUCAAUGGCCGAGACGCUGAACCAGCCAAGUCGCGUGAGGGAAGACGGCCCUCCGGGUUGUAAACCCCUUUUGUCGGGGAGCAAAGCGAGUCACGUGUGACUCAUUGAGAGUACCCGAAGAAAAAGCAUCGGCAAACUCCGUGCCAGCAGCCGCGGUAAUACGGAGGAUGCGAGCGUUAUCCGGAUUUAUUGGGUUUAAAGGGUGCGCAGUGGGAGGGGCACGUCAGCGGUCAAAUUGCGGGGCUCAACCUCGUACUGCAGUUGACACUGCAUCCCUAGAGUGCGCGAGAGGUAUGCGGAAUGCGUGGUGUAGCGGUGAAAUGCGUAGAGAUCACGAAGAACACCGAUUGCGAAGGCGGCAUACCGGCGCGCAACUGACGCUCAUGCACGAAAGCGUGGGGAUCGAACAGGAUUAGAUACCCGUGUAGUC
rnacentral:rRNA from 1 species